rnacentral:rRNA from 1 species
UGAGUGGCGACGGGUGAGUAACGCGUGGGCAACCUGCCCUGUACAGGGGGACAACACUUAGAAAUAGGUGCUAAUACCGCAUAACGGGGGGAGCCGCAUGGCACCCCCCCUGAAAACUCCGGUGGUACAGGAUGGGCCCGCGUCUGAUUAGCUGGUUGGCAGGGUAACGGCCUACCAAGGCGACGAUCAGUAGCCGGCCUGAGAGGGCGGACGGCCACACUGGGACUGAGACACGGCCCAGACUCCUACGGGAGGCAGCAG